rnacentral:pre_miRNA from 1 species
GAUUUUAACGGAAAAAGUCAUCAAUAACAAAGUGGUAUAACUCAUCAANAUCUAUAACUUUUAUUUGGGUAAUUUCUUCAUCCGAUAAAGUGAUUUAUAAGACCGUUCACAAAAUGUAUAUAUCUCUUAUAUAGUUUAUAAACUAUAGGAGAUAUAUGUAAAUUUUGUGAACAAUGUUACUAUCACUUUAUCGGAUGAAGAAAUGACCAAAAUAAAAUUUAUAUAUGUUGAUGAGUUAUACAACUUUAUUAUUGAUGACUUUUUCAGUUGAAAUU